CACAUGCAAGUCUCAGCACCCCAGUGAGGACGCCCUUAUCCCCUUCCCCAGGCUAAGGAGCCGGUAUCAGGCGCGGAAUUCCUGCCCACAACACCUAGUCUUACCACACCCCCAAGGGUCUUCAGCAGUGAUAGAUAUUGUUAAUGAGCGUCAGCUUGAACCAGUCAGAGAGAAGAGAGCCGGCUAACCUGGUGCCAGCCGCCGCGGCUACACCCCGGGGCUCAAACAGAUAACUAUCGGCGUUAAGCGUGAUUAAAGGCUCAUAUCACUAGAGUCAAACAAUUGCAUAGCUGUGAAAAGCUCGCUUUUUUGGAAGCCCAACAACGAAAGUCACUCUAAUAAACCCCUUGAAUACACGACAGCUAGGACACAAACUGGGAUUAGUAGAUACCCCAC
rnacentral:rRNA from 1 species